CGCCGAGCUCAUACAUCCCUCCACCCGCCCACUCGCCCGGCCCACACACAACCCAUCUGUCACGCAUGAACAGACACACAAACGCACCCUACAAAAGAGGCAGCUAAUUGGGUUAAUGAUGAUGACUGAACUUGCACUUUCAAAAUGGCUGCCUUGCUUACACACAACCGAGUGUAAAGUUCGUCAGUGCGAGCGCGUUAUCACAACGCAUAUUUAAACUUUUUGUUAGCGGUGACCUCCGGUGGACAAAGUUAUAAUGACGGAAGCAAAGGAAGAUGUCAGGUGGUGUGUUGUAAAAGAAAUGGCAAAGUUCGUAAAAGGCGGUUGGGGUGGUCGGAUGGAAGAUCUCCAAAUCUACGCUGUGCAAAUCAACGACCUGCUUUUUGAUUUGUUUUUUUUGGGUGACAUCAUGGUGAUUCUAGAAGAGUUUAUAGAGGAGCCGUUUAUCUAAGUAGGCGUGUGAGAAAACCUGAAUAUCUACAACAUCACAGGGCCUUUAAAUAUCUCUGACUGACGGGCCUUCGCACCGGCAGUGUGAGAGGGCCACUUAAGAGCGUGUGGCCGAAGCAGCAGAAAAUAGAAAUCGCUUGGGAGAUAGAGGAGUUAUGCGAUAAAAAAAACACUCGACCGUAUGUUUUCUACCGGGCUCCGGAGACGGACUGCAGACUCACAUGGCUUCAGCACUCUGCACAGUGAAACAUCCCAGUGUGUGAAAGAAUGCGCAACACAGACUCGAAAAUGUCGUCUGGUUUGGUGCUACGACGCUUCCCGUCCGACAUGGCCGCAGAGCCGAUAAGCCCGUCUUAUCUCUGUUUCCAACCUGCUGCCCCCAGAGAAAGUGACCGAGGGGAGAGCAGACAGUAAACAUUGGGAAACAACGGUUAAAUAAUGCCUCCAUUGUUCCAUCUGUUUACACCCUCCCUCCCUCUCUCCCUCACACACUUCAAACAUUCCCCAUCCUCCGUUGGCUGCGGGGAGAGAAACCUCAACAGCGUCACCCGUGUUGCUUUUUUACACCGUUACAUCAUGGCCGCCCCCUUGUUUACUCUGUCUUCUUCUUCUUCUCUCUCAUCUUUUAAAGGUGCUAUAAACGCAACAUAUGCACCCUUCGCCCACGUGCGUACACACUUCUAACUCCUCCCGACUGGCAGAACACACGGGAUCCAAACCCCCGGAUUCAUGGAGCGUCGUCUCAUAAACCUAACACUCAUUUAUCUCUCUCAGACUCGUCCCACCUUCCCGUCAACUGGUAAUGGAAGCUCAAACACGGGGAUGCCCGGGGGGGUUAUCGCCCGCCCGCCCGCUGCAGAGGAGUCUGUUGGCAGACAUGCAAAUCGGCAGCGUUCGUCGUGUGUGCAAGCAAACCCGCACAUGCAAAGCGCCUGGUGUACAGCGCACAACUGGAGGAAGGCAUCCCUUACGUCAGCAGAUUUGAAGUUGUGUUUCCUUUGUUUUUAUGAAACCAGAAACUCCCUUUGACUGUGAUACUUUUAAGAGAAAACAUGACAUCCUUCCUCUGACAGACGAAAGCUAAAUUCAUUAGACUGUGAAACCCUGUUGCUCUGUUGAACAGCCUCAGUGUGGUGUGACCUGUAGCUUACGGUGGCUAACGUUAGCAACCUGUUGGGUCAUCGAUUUACUAUUCUGGUUGAGUCUUGCCGCUCUCUUCGGGGUAGUUAGCAGUCCAUGCUAACAUACCUGCCCGCCACCUUACAGUAGAUAGAAGUUAGCAGCUAAUGAGUAGCUAUGAGUAGGUGGAUGCCAAAACAAAUGAGAAAGGAGAGUAAUUAUUGAAUUUGCUAGGGAAUUUGUGUGUAAAGCUUCAAAAUAAGCAACGGUAUCAAAUUCUCUCAUUAAUUCCUCUCCUUUGCUUUUUAACACACAGGGUGACAGACUGCACCUCGCCGUCUCUCCUCUGAGGAGACAUUGUUAGAAAGGGAAGCGUCUCCGAUGCUCUUCACAGGUCUGUCACAGCACAUUUACAAUGUAAAUCUUGUUAGGGUGACACGCGUCACAGACACACAUCACCAGCCUUCAGAGCUUUACAUAAGAAUCUUGCGCAAACAGGAAACAUAACAUUGAGGUGGUUUUAUAUCAGUAAGUCAACCUUUGCGGUGUGGCUGUGAAUGUUGAGGAACGAUCGAUUUUCAUCCCAACAAACCUUCAUAUUGAGUUCUACUGCAGGUGAGACAGCUCGCAAAGGCCACAGAGGAAUACAAAUGUGAUGGAGGUUGUGUGUGGAACUGACAAUGUUGUCUCUAAUUGCCUCUGCGGGACUCCUUGUUUGGAGAUAACAAGGUACCCGGCUUUAUGAGAAAUGCAUACGGGCUGCACAACAGUACCAGUGCACGAAGACAUGGCACGCACCUCGGCCGCGUGAAUAGAGGCAUCAAAGCGUGACCUAUUACGGAUCUUCAUCUGCAUCUUCUAAUUAAGUGGGUUUGGCAUUUGCAAUCCGCGAAAACAACACAUCUUUGAGCGUUUUUUUAAAGGAGGGAACUGAUUAAGAUCAUUAACAAGACAUCCAUUUGGUUUGUAAAUGGUUUUUAUUAGCAAAAUAAGGGAGAUGAGUCUACAAAGAUCCUCCAUCCAUGGAGAACAUACACAUACAUUGACAGUUGUGGCAGUUUCUUUACAUGAACAAGAUUCCAGGACUGUAAUAUAAUUCUCCUCUUGGCAAAGUAGUACUGAUCUAACAUCACAGACCAGGCUCCCUUUGACCAUCUCAGUUUCCAUCACCCCGAAUGAAAAGGGUUCUCGGAUCCUCGAGCAGCGCCGCCCUGCUCUCAAACCAUCACUCGACAGGAUCCAAGAACGACGUGCGAACCUCAACCUUUACAACCAUCGUUUCUGUGGUUCAGUUUUUCUCUCCUUAACCCCCAAAAUACAUUAAAAUAUACAUUAAAAUGUGCCUACUUUGGUAGUCUGGUCUUUGUACUUUAAACAUGUGAGCGUAUUAUAAGCUCGAGCCUCGACUUACCAUUUUUCUGAAUGGUUGGGAUGAAUGGAUAUUUUGUACAGUGUUUAAAAACCAGAACCCCAGAUCUUUGGGGUGAAUGUAACAAUAUACAUCUCAGUAUUGUACUGUGUGAUUGGCCAGUAGGCCUUCCAUUGUCAUGGCGGUUAGGGGAAGGGUUGGAGGUGGAGGUGGGGGGCUGUGGAGGCUACAUGUUGGUCACCAUGGAGACCCAUGUGCCUUUAAACCAGAGGGAAAAUCCUCCUCCUCCUCCUGAUAGCUCAGUGGUGUGCACAUAUAAGAUAGCAGGGACACUAACAUAUGAAAACAGUUUACCUCUUUAUGUUUAGAACAAUUCAGCAGGCAACAGAACAAGCAUUGGGACUAAGACCGCAGUAAAAAGGCAUGCGAAGGCACAAGUACCAACAAACUGGACUCAAAGUUGUACCCCUUUUCUUCCCUUUCGGUUGUAGGGAAGGAAGAAAAGAAGCAUUUCCACCGACAGCAAAGGUUGUUUUUUUUUUUUUUUUACCUUUUUCCAGAGACAGCGGCAGAAGGAACAGCAAAAACGUGAUCUUCUCCAAAAAAACUUAAAAACAGAAAAGGAAUUUUCUUUCUUUAAAAUGAUAAAAAAAAAAAAGAAUGUGCAGAUUUUUUUUUUUUUGCGGUGACGCUCUUACAAUGAUAACAAACAUCCUACACAAAUGUGGUAACGCUAGUUUCAAAAUGUUCCAAGACAAAAAACAUAAAUAAAGCUGUUAAAAGUGGCAUAUAGUACAGCACUGGUCCUUUGACUGGUCCUCCCGACUCUUCUCAUCUUCCCCACCAAAAGAUGCACAAUAAACUGGCUCCACUGCC